CAGGUGACUAUCUUAACUACCGCCAAGAGCCAAAAGUGUUUGCAGGGGAGGACCAAGAGGAUGGAGGGAGGGAGGGAGAGAGAGCGAGAGAGAGAGGAGAGGUUGACCCUGGAGGUUGCGGUCCCCUUUAAAAGUCCCAUCCCGCUUGGAUACGCAGAGCUCAUGCAGGAUCUGCUGCGGCAGUAGGGGAACACUGCUGAGCUGUGCACUUUAGGCUGCCAGCAAGCGUGCAGAGGAGAGGGAGGGAGGUGGGGGUGCUCACAGGAGGAGGAGGGAAGGAGAGAGAGAGAGUGCAAACAAUGUCAUUUUGUACAGGAGGUAAUGCUGCAGUCAACUUUGCAGCACCAUGAAGGCACAUCAUCACACCAAGAGGCUCGCUGAAGUUUUCCUGCUCCGUCACCGCUGAUGCAGCCCGACCGACGAUCGUCUGCAGGAGCAGCCUCGUGCACCCGGCCGGCUGCUGUGCAGGAACAUGCCUUGACUUGUUGCAGUGACCAAGUGCAAAAGAGACAGAGAGCAGAGAGACGCAGGUGGCUUUCGGUCAAAGCCUGCACAACACCUGUGGACAACGGCCGACUGGUACCAAAGGUGGACUGGGGAGCUGUUUUACUGCCUUGGCUGACGACCGCAGAGCGCUCUUUCGUGUCCACGUCCUGUCAGCAAGCGGAGUCCUCGGGGAGAAGACCAUAUAGAACAGUCCGGCGGACAAAAAUAGCACUGCAGAGAUCGCGGGGAGACUUUUAACUGAUACCUCUUUGCUGAACAACACUCAAGCAUUUGCUUUACAUGAGGAGAGCAGCAAUCUGAACACACCGCUACAAAUUGAGAGAGCACUGAUCAUCUUCUACUUCGAGAGCUCAUCAGAGUAAAAAAAAAAAAAAGUGCCAGCUUUCAUGCCACUCUCGAGGAGAAUGGUGACAGCAAGGACCAGUUGGCAGAAGGAGGCAGACUGCUGGCUGCUGUGGGUGUUUCUCUGGCAGUGUCUUAGCUGGUUGUUGUGAGGAGUGAGAACGAAGCAAUCAGCAAGUAUACUGCCGCAGAAAUUCUUUGCAAUAAGAGUCCUCAGCAAUGACAUUGACUAAUGGAGGGGGGAACCUUAAGCUGCUUUGUAUCGACCAUCCCAUUAUGGACUAAGUUGUCACAUGAAGACAUGCGUUGUAGUUUGUGAAGAAAAAAAAAGUCUUCUGCUGCCAUCUGAUGGCUAAAAGAAGCAUGAAUUUAAAAUGGCUAUUUGCUGAUGUGUGUUUUAUGUCUGCCUGCCUGAAAUUGAUUUUCACAAUAAUUUCAUGUAAAUUCAGUCGCUUUGAUUUAUAAAUUUGUGCUGAUUUACUAAGGAGUCAAAACAAUUUGUCCGGUUGCUAAAUCUAAUAAGAUCCAAUUCAAGAGCUGUAUGUUAAAAUUAGCGUUUACAAAAUGAAUAAUCCUUCGAUAUAAUUGACACAGUCCCGAAAAUGUUAAUUAAACACAAUACCCAUUAAC